rnacentral:rRNA from 1 species
UGAGGAAUCUGUCCAUCGGCGGGGGAUAGCCGGCCCAACGGCCGGGUAAUACCGCGUACGUCGGCGGGAGCGCAUGCUCCUGCCGGGAAAGCAGCAAUGCACCGAUGGAGGAUCUCGCGGCCUAUCAGCUAGUUGGUGAGGUAACGCUCACCAAGGCGACGACGGGUAGCUGGUCUGAGAGGAUGGCCAGCCACAGUUGGGACUGAGACACGGCCCAGAUCCCG